UACGAGGGGGGCGAGCGUUGUUCGGAAUUAUUGGGCGUAAAGAGCUCGUAGGCGGUCUGUCGCGUCGAAUGUGAAAACCCGGGGCUCAACUCCGGGCUUGCAUUCGAUACGGGCAGGCUAGAGUUCGGUAGGGGAGUCUGGAAUUCCUGGUGUAGCGGUGAAAUGCGCAGAUAUCAGGAGGAACACCGGUGGCGAAGGCGGGACUCUGGGCCGUAACUGACGCUGAGGAGCGAAAGCGUGGGGAGCGAACAGG
rnacentral:rRNA from 1 species